rnacentral:sRNA from 1 species
AAUAAGCUCAUAAGGUUAGUAAAGUUAAAGACGGUUAGCAAUUCUCAUUUCUGGGGGUGGUGCUUAUGAGUGUAACAACUCUUACUCACAUUCUGAAGAAAGGAAAUUGCACAAUGUCAGUUUAUGAAGCACUAAGUUUAAUGAUUGCAUUCGCGACGUUAAUCGUGCUAGUGAACAA